CCUACGGGGGGCAGCAGUGGGGGAUAUUGCACAAUGGGGGAAACCCUGAUGCAGCGACGCCGCGUGGGCGAAGAAGUAUUUCGGUAUGUACAGCCCUAUCAGCAGGGAAGAAGAAAUGACGGUACCUGAGUAAGAAGCACCGGCUAAAUACGUGCCAGCAGCCGCGGUAAUACGUAUGGUGCAAGCGUUAUCCGGAUUUACUGGGUGUAAAGGGAGCGUAGACGGAAAGGCAAGUCAGAAGUGAAAGCCCAAGGCUCAACCAUGGGACUGCUUUUGAAACUGUCAAACUAGAGUACGGGAGAGGUAAGAGGAAUGCCUAGUGUAGCGGUGAAAUGCGUAGAUAUUAGGAGGAACACCAGUGGCGAAGGCGUCUUACUGGACCGAAACUGACGUUGAGGCUCGAAAGCGUGGGGAGCAAACAGGAUUAGAUACCCUUGUAGUC
rnacentral:rRNA from 1 species